rnacentral:rRNA from 1 species
GAUGAACGCUAGCGGCAGGCCUAAUACAUGCAAGUCGAACGGGAUCUGAGGGUAGCUUGCUACCCGAUUUGAGAGUGGCGCACGGGUGCGUAACGCGUGAGCAACCUACCCAUAUCAGGGGGAUAGCACGGAGAAAUUCGGAUUAACACCGCAUAAGAAUGCCUUAACACAUGUUAAAGCAUUUAAAUAUUUAUCGGAUAUGGAUGGGCUCGCGUGACAUUAGCUAGUUGGUGAGGUAACGGCGCACCAAGGCGACGAUGUCUAGGGGCUCUGAGAGGAGAAUCCCCCACACUGGUACUGAGACACGGACCAGACUCCUACGGGAGGCAGCAGUAAGGAAUAUUGGUCAAUGGGCGGAAGCCUGAACCAGCCAUGCCGCGUGCAGGAUGACUGCCCUAUGGGUUGUAAACUGCUUUUGUCGAGGAAUAAACCUAUCUACGUGUAGCUAGUUGAACGUACUCGAAGAAUAAGGAUCGGCUAACUCCGUGCCAGCCGCCGCGGUAA